rnacentral:rRNA from 1 species
ACUCAAAUGAAUUGACGGGGGCCCGCACAAGCAGCGGAGCGUGUGGUUUAAUUCGACGCGACGCGCAGAACCUUACCAGGGUUUGACAUCGCGGUGUAACUCAGGGAAACCUGGUCCCCGCGCAAGCGGCACCGUGACAGAUGCUGCAUGGCUGUCGUCAGCUCGUGCCGUGAGGUGUUGGGUUAAGUCCCGCAACGAGCGCAACCCUCGGGGCUAGUUACCGUGUCUAGCCCGACUGCCGCGACAAACGCGGAGGAAGGUGGGGAUGAAGUCAAGUCAGCACGGCUCUUACAUCCUGGGCGACACACACGCUACAAUGGACGCGACAACGGGAGGCGAAGUCGCAAGGCGGAGCAAAUCCCACCAAAGGCGUCCUCAGUUCAGAUCGGCGUCUGCAACCCGACGCCGUGAAGGCGGAGUUGCUAGUAACCGCGGGUCAGCACACCGCGGUGAAUACGUUCCCGGGCCUUGUACACACCGCCCGU